CGUGGACGAGCGGUCUAAGGCGCUGGAUUAAGGCUCCAGUCUCCUCGGAGGCGUGGGUUCGAAUCCCCAUCUCCAAUACGA
rnacentral:tRNA from 1 species